CAGUAGCCACGGUAAUACGGAGGGUGCAAGCGUUAAUCGGAAUUACUGGGCGUAAAGCGCACGCAGGCGGUUUUGUAAGACAGAGGUGAAAUCACCGGGCUCAACCUGGGAACUGCCUUUGUGACUGCAAGGCUAGAGUACGGCAGAGGGGGAUGGAAUUCCGCGUGUAGCAGUGAAAUGCGUAGAUAUGCGGAGGAACACAGAUGGCGAAGGCAAUCCCCUGGGCCUGUACUGACGCUCAUGCACGAAAGCGUGGGGAGCAAACAGGAUUAGAUACCCCGGUAGUCCCUGUCUCUUAUAC
rnacentral:rRNA from 1 species